GCGAGAGUCAUAUCUCCCUGCAGUUCUUGUCUGGUAUCACACUGAAGCUAAGGAGGGUUGAGUCUGGAGAGUACCUGAUUGGGAGACCUCCUGGGGAAAACUAAGGUUGCUGCUUGAA
rnacentral:rRNA from 1 species